rnacentral:lncRNA from 1 species
UUGCUAUAUAUCGCUUUUUGCUUUGUUUGACAUUCAUCAAAACCUACAAAAGAACACACGUUUAGUAUAUUGCAUUUGAAACGUGUUUCCAACAUACCAAAGUUCAUUUUUGAACUUAUCUAUUUAUUGAUUGGAGAAUUGGGGAUUUUCAUCAAACAGCUUUUCUAAAGUGAGUAAUUGAGCUUUGAACAUUUAUUUGGAGUUAGGAUUAGAUGAAAUUAUUAUAGUUGAAUUCAUACUUGAAUGGGUUUUUAGAAUUUGUUAUUUUUUCGGGAUCCAAGGUGCAGGCUCGAGUUUGUCUUUUUGGCUGAUUUUAGGCUUUUGAUUAACGAUUCGACAUUUUUCAAUUGAAAUUGGCUCCUUUAGCAUUUUUUGUUGUAUUUAACUUGUUUUUGGUUAGUUUCUAGAUUUACAGAGAUCGAAAUGCAUGAUAUUGUAUUUUUAGAGAAUCGCUUGUCUUGCUCGGUUCAAUUGGUUUGCUCGAGGUAGGUAACUCUUCUUAACUUUGUGUUGAGGAUAUGAAACCCUCAAUUAUCUGUUGUGUGAUUGAUGAUGCAGUGACUCACAUGCUAGGUGAUGGGUGAGUGGGCAUGCACCCUGUAAAUUGUGACUCUAUUAUUUCCAUGGCACUGUAUAGUGGCCUUAUUUUGUUGAUAUCUAUGUUCUCACCAUGGGAUAAAGUAACUGAGCUGUCAAUCAAGCUAGAUAUCAUGUUAGGCUUUUUGUUGAUAUUGUUACAACCCAUAGUUGUCGUUUCUUGCUGUUAUCUCACUGAUUUUAUUUCUUACUCAAUCAUAUUCAUGGAAUCAUAUCAUAUCUAAGUCACACUUGUUGUAUAUUGAUACAUCAUUUCAUUGUUGUCGGGCUAGUUUCAUGACAUUACGAGCCCGUGAGUUAGACUAGACAGAUUGAUGACUGAGUGAGGCUGAAAGCCUGAUAAUGAGUGACAGUUCUAAGAUCUGGCUGCACGCCGCAACAUGUUAUAUUGAUUUAUGCAUGGAUCUGGCUUUUGGUAGCUUUUCGACUAUAGGAUCCCCUCCAGAGUGUGUACGCACCCCAGUGAGCGCGGUUGUUGAUAUUGAGGGAUAGAUCUUUCCUAGACAUGGAUCUUAUCUGAAUCAUUAUAUAAUUGGAGAUGGAUCUUCUCCAUGGGGCUGGAUUGAGCUUCCUUGGUAUUGUGUGACUGAUCAUCAGUGAUGUAUAUAUUCUGGGAUGGAUCUUCCCUGGGCCAUAUAGGCCAUAUACAAUACCGAGUGCUUGAGCAUGAUGAGGGGAAAGUGUGAGACAAUGAUAUUGAGUACUAUAAGAGUGUGAGUACAUGAUUCAUCAUUAAUAUACAUUGCAUUGGCACGCAGACAUGACAUGCAUGCAUAGAAAUACAUUUUUUUGCAUGUUGUACGGUAUCACGUCAUUCAUGACUUUUUACAUAAAUUGAUAUGUGGGCAUAGAGUGAUAUUUCACACUUGAUAUUUGGAAGAAAUUAAAACAUUUUACUUAUUGUGGAAUGGAUUUUCAAAACAAUUAUUGUUUUCAUGCUAUCUCAUAUUUUUCAACUAUUUCGCUAAAGUAUUUGGGUUUUCACUUAUAUUUCUGAAAAGCACAAUUAUUUUCAAAAAACUAUGAAGAAGCUGAGCAUUUUUAUGUCUGAGUUACUUCUCCAUUUAUAUACGCUACAUUGUUAUGAAUUAUUGUUGACUAUUGGUGUUGGACCCAACCUUCAUCUAGCUCGUCAGUACUUUUAAUCUAAGAUUAGGAUAUUUACUUUUCAGUACAUGCGGUCGGUUGUACUGAUACUACACUUCUGCUCAUUGUGUGCAGAUGUUGGCUGUUGUUAUUGUUGUGUUCGAUGGUUGCUGGAUUUGAAGAUUUACUAGAGUCCCUGUUCUAGCUGCCUUUUGUUCAUGGUAGCCUUACAUUAUAAAACUAUGUUUAUGUACUUUUCAAAGAGAAGAUGUAUUUACUUCAUAUCAUCUUUGUAAAUACUAUUUUUAGGCGCUCAUGAUUUGUACGACUAGUCCUUGAAAAAUGUGAAUGAUUCAGAUAAUUUCAUUGUUCAGUUGUCUCAUUAAUAUUAUUCAAAUUGGAUAGGUUGGUUAGGUGUCAUCAUGACCAGUGCAUUGGUUGUGGCAGAAGCUCUGCCAACUACACUCUUCACGAACGUGACCCCUGCUCAGCGAAUGCAUAGUCCAAGGGCUUGGUGUCUGCAGCUGACUCAACAUCUCUUCUUGAAUGUGUUACCCUUUCCAUGUUCGUGAUGCCUACUCUGACCAAACCUUCGCGAAUUGGUGAACGCAAAGAACAAAUUUCCACAAUCUCCUAGGUACAAUUUGGGAACACAAAUCAAAUGAGUAAAACCCAACAACUUCCACUAUUUGACCAACCUAAAACCCUGUUUUUUAACCAUCCGAAAUCAACCCGGGGGCCCCGGUACCUCAACCAACAAGAACUAAAUCAUGAUACAAACUUAAUCGAAUCAUCAAAUCACCUCAAAAACAUCAAAAAGACGAAUUACACACAAAUUCAAGCCUAAAAAACUUUGAGUUCCAAAAUUCUACAAACGACUUCAGAACAUAUCAAAUCACAUCUGAUUAACCUCAAAAUUUACUCAUAAUUCGUAAACGAUACCACAAAUAUACUUAAAAUUGCAAAAAUCCAAUCUGACCCCGAUAGCAAAAGGCCAUCUCCUAGUCAAACUUUCAAAAUUUCAACUUUGUCAUUUCAAGCGUAAUUCUACUUCGAACCUCCAAAUCACAAAACGGACGCGCUCAUGAGUCAAAAAUAACCUAUAGAAGCUAAUAUCAGCAUCAAAUUCACCCGAGGUCGUUUUAACUAAGUCAGCAUUCAUUCAACUUUUCCAACUUAAGCUUUCAAUUAAGAGGCCAAGUAUCUCAAUUCACUUUGAAAUAUUUGCAGACCCAAACCUACUAACCCAGUAAGUCAUAUAAUAUUUUGAGAUAUAGAAGGAGCACUAAAUGGGGGAACAUGGCUACAACUCGCAAAAUAACCGGCCGGGUCGUCACAUACUCCCCCUCUUAAACAAACGUACAUCAUCGAACGGGUCUAGAAACAUACUGGAGUCAUAAAUAGGCGUGACUAUCUACUCCACAUCUACAGCUCGGUCUCCCAAGUAGCCUCUUCCACGGCCUGACCUCUUCGUUGCACCUUCACAGAAGAUAUAUCCUUUGACCUCAACUUUCAAACCCGCCGAUCCAAAAUGGCCAUCGGCUCCACAUCAUAAUUCAAAUCACCAUCCAACUAAACUGUGUUGAAAUCCAAAACAUGAGACGGGUUGCGUAUAUACUUCUAGAGCAUAGAAAUGUGAAAUACUGGAUGCACACUCGAUAAUUUAGGCUGCAAGGCAACCUUGUAUGGCAUCUUCCUAAUCCUCUGAAUGACCUCAAAAGGCCAAGUGCACCGAGGAAUAAACAUGCCUUUUUUAACCAAACUUCAUAACACCCUUCAUGCGUGAAAAUUUAGCAUAACCUUCAACCUAACCGUGUAAGAUACAUCACGAACCUUCCUAUCGGCAUAGCUCUUCUACCUUGAUUGUGCCGUGUAAAGACGCUCCUGAAUCAAUUUAUCCUUUUCCAAUGCAUCCUGAACCAAGUCAAUAUCCACUAGUCUAGCCUCAUCAGGCUCAAAGCAACCCACCGGAGAUCUAUACUGCCUCCCAUAUAAACCCUCGUAUGGAUCCAUAUGAAUUCUUGACUAAUAGCUUAAGUUCUAAUGAAACUCCACGAGCAGCAGAAACUUUGAGGUUCCAUGAACCCCCGAAAUCAAUGACACAAGCACGCUGCAUGUUCAUACUACAAGGCAAGUUUUAAAAUUAUUAACCCCGCUUUUAUUUAAUUUUAAGAAGAUUACAACGUUGUUAAGACGCGUCUUGAACAACGUCACAUAAAUGCACCCAUAAUUCACGACACAUUUUAUCUAACGUUGAGAUUUGAAUUUGGGUCACAUAAAUGCGCACCGAGUUUUGCGAAGUACAUUAUUAACUAACGCCCCUAAAGCAAUCACGCAAGUUUGCGAGGUCCAUGAGAAUUCAACUAAAUAGCACACCUCGAUUUCGAAAGAUUAAAAUUUAUUAAGUGAGGCCAUGGGUUUUGCAAUUUUAUUUGGCAUGCCAAGCCUCAAAUUAGUUCCCAUUUUAGAGGGCCAUGGAUUAUGGAUAAGAUAUUUUUAAAGACUUACUAACACGAUAUAAUUUAAUUUGCUGCCUCAAAUUAAACAAUUUAGAGUUAGUGACCAUACGAUCCAAAUGGGCUAGCUAAUCAUGGCCAUUCUACGUUAUAUUAUUAUUGCCCAUUCCAAAACUAUUCCUUUUCAGAAAAAUUAGCGAGCAAGUAAACUAAAGAAAGAACGGGCACAAUAAUCAAAGAAGAAAUAUCAUUAAAGACAUAUUUAGCAAUAGAAUAAUUAAAAAAAAAAAAAAAAGAGGAAAGGACCUUCAUGGAUUUAUAUAUAACAGAAGCAAACAAACAACAUCGGAGGCAUUUCAUGGGCUAAAGCACUUUACACUAUUUAGCAAAACUAAGAAGAGCAUGGAGGAAUGAAAUAGAUAGAUAAACGGACCUGUAAUGCAGCAAAAGAAAUUUAUCCUUCUAACUAUAAAUAAAAUCGGAAGCCGAUACGAGGCAACAAUGUAUGAAUAUGAACAGGGACACCAGGAUACCUUGCCGACAACCUUGGCGAAUGCUUCACCUUUGGGAAAACGUUUAAUGGAUUUUUCCAAUCCAAUGUGGUUAUUGUUGGUGAUGGCUAAUAUUAGUCCAUGUGCUACCCGCUUUUUUGCUUUGACAAAGGAGAAGUGAACAAAUGAAAUAUGAGCUUAAAUGACCCUUAAAUUCAAAUUCUGUUGAGGAAGAUUUCGUUGGUUAUCAUUGUAUUACAGCUGAGUGGAUCGAUUUUUGAGUAGCUAUCUCUUCCACCUCUGUUUUUCUAAAUGUAUAUGAACUUACACCGAACUCUUUUGAAUCUGAGAAGAUCCUAGGUAGGAAAAAUUAGAAGGAGUAAUAACUGAAAAGCAAAAGGACCAUGCAGAAUUCUCAAUCCCAAACAUAGAAACUGAAGCGGCUAGUCUUUUUUGGGGAUUUUUGGGAUAAAGCUGCCGUUUUUUCUAGCUUUUUG